AGCCAGCCAGCCAGCUCCCCCGGACUGUUCCUGCUUGGGGGUGGGCUGCUGCUGCCGCUGAUCCCACUGCUGAGGGAAGAGUCUAGUUACCAAAGGCUCGUCUGGGGUUUGCAUGGAGGUAGUGCAUGCUCCGGGUGAACAUGUGGAAGUAAAAGAACAACUCUAUGGAGUUGGUUCUUUCCUUCCACUUCCAUGUGGGUUCCAGGAAUCCAAUUCAGGCUGCCAGGCUUGCAAGGAUAUGUACACACCUACCAGGACUGGCAUUGCCAUGACAACAGCUGAAGUCCAGGGUGAGCAGAAAACAUCACCUGUAAUGCCUCCAUUGAGCCCUUCAGAAUAUAGCUUCUUUACCCCAGGCUUCUGAAGACUGUGAAGUUAAAUGAAGAGCUUACCAGCAAAGCAGAGGAAUUAAAAGGGAAAACAACUACAAGAGGCACACACAUGACUGAGGAGCAGUGCAAAGUGGGCCCAGGUUCCUUUAUGCUCCUGGUCACAGCCACUCUGGCAUUGGCAUAAAAGGACAGUCAGUGGCAAGACACAGGAAGAGCUCAGACACAAGUGGAAGAAGCCGCAAGCACAAGAAAUAAACCUUCCAGAAACAACUGAACCUUCACCAUAAAGCACAUGAACUCAGUGAAAAAAUAGGCUUUGUUUGAGACUGAAAACCAAGCUUGGAGAAGCAUUUUCCUUUUCUUCAAGGAGCAAUGAAUAAGCACUCCUCUCCCCAGGCCCAGGAGGGCAGUGGUGGGUGACCCAACUCUAUAGAUGUUGAACAAUCCAAAUAACCUCAGAGGACCUGUAUCUGGACCUACAAAUGGGAACUACUGGAUUCUAACCAUUAGGUCUUCAGUCAAAGCCAGAUAGUAGAUUACAAGCCAUGAAAUUAUUUUCCCCCAAACAUGAGUAAGCUGACUAGAUAUGCAUUGAUGCUCCAUGCCAACCACUGUGAUGCAUUUAGGCACACUGUCAUUGUGCAGUCAAUCAGUAAGCCUGACACUGGAAUUCAGCUCAGCUCUUAUUCUAAAUAAUAAUAUUAAUCUUUACACCAUUCCUCUUCAAAUGACAAAGAACACAGUGUAAGUUUUAAUGCCUCAAAGUACAAAGGACAUGGCAGAAGGCAGAGGACAGUCCUUUUACCUUCGUGUAAUUGGUGUGGAGGUAUUUCAAAGAGCAUAGUUAGGUCACCACGGAAUAACUGAAAACUGUGAGCCUGACCACUCCAUGAGGGCCAUGAGGCAUGUAUCAGCAGCCAGUAAGGGCAGAGAGCAAUGGAGAUUCUUCAUCUAUCUCCAUCAAAACUAUGGAUCAUGAACAGUUGGGCAAGAUGAUCUCCAGACUCCACCCCUUUCUAAGAAGCUGUUGGCUGUGGAUAGAUGAUGGGAAUAUGCUUUUUCUUGAGGAUGUGGUAACUGAUAGAUUCCACAGUCUCCAGUGCAUGGCCCCACACCCAUGCAUGUAUGAUCAGCAUUAACAGGACUUAAAGGGCUGUGAAACUCUCAAAUAUGAAAAAAUUUAAAAAUGAACUUGGAUGCAACUGCUUUCUGACCAAUAGUAAAUGUAAGUGUUGUAUGCAUAUAUUGGAUGUGUUAUGAAUAUUUAUCCCUAAUAUCCUUUUGAAUAUGAAGGACAAACCUGGUUCUAAAACAUGAAAUAAUCCAUAAAUGCUCCCAUUUUAUAUGUGGCUGGAGAUUUACACUGACCAGUGUCAUUAAUGAGAGGCUAUAUUCAAAGCUAGCUCCUAAUUUACCAAACUAACCUAUAAUGUCUCCAUGACAGCAAGACUAACCCUAGAGGUAGGGAGUGAUCAAGCAUGACUUCACAUGUGGCUUUGGGUAGCUCUGACCUGCCUAGGUGCCUCCUUAUCCUACAACAGUUAGUAUGCUGAAAACACUCUCCUCUCUCACUCAUUCACUGAACUGGGGCUGCAGAUUAGUUCAAUGGAGUCUUUCAUGUUCUUCCCCUUGCUAUCUGGCAAUAUUAGCUGUAUAAUAAAUUGCUUCAACUCGUGCAUUUUUGACCAACCUUACUUUUAGUUGACAUGUGAAACACUCAUAAAUAGCAAAUGCUACUUGAUUAGAAUAAAGUCCUUGGAAUUGCCA
rnacentral:lncRNA from 1 species